GACGAACGCUGGCGGCGUGCUUAACACAUGCAAGUCGAACGGCAAGGCCCUGCUUUCGUGGGGUGCUCGAGUGGCGAACGGGUGAGUAACACGUGAGUAACCUGCCCUUGUCUUUGGGAUGACUUCAGGAAGCUGGGGCUACUACCGGACAGGAUCUCCCGCUGCAUGGUAGGGGUUGGAAAGUUUCGGCUGCUAGGGAUGGACUCGCGGCUUAUCAGCUUGUUGGUGGGGUAGUGGCUUACCAAGGCUUUGACGGGUAGGCGGCCUGAGAGGGUGACUGGCCACAUUGGGACUGAGGGACGGCCGAGACUCCUACGGUAGGCAGCAGUGGGGAAGAUUGCACAAGGGGCAGAAGCCGGAUGAAGCAACGCCGCGGGCGGGAUAACGGCCUUCGGGUUAUAAACCGCUUGCGCCUGGGACGAAGCGUGUGUGACGGGAAUGGGUAAAAAAGGAACGGGUAACUACGUG
rnacentral:rRNA from 1 species